AGCGAAAGCGAGUCUGAACAGGGCGUUCAGUUCGUCGGAUUAGACCCGAAACCGGGUGAUCUAGCCAUGAGCAGGUUGAAGGUAAGGUAACACUUACUGGAGGACCGAACCGGUGCCUGUUGAAAAAGUCUCGGAUGACUUGUGGCUAGGGGUGAAAGGCCAAUCAAACUCGGAAAUAGCUGGUUCUCCGCGAAAGCUAUUUAGGUAGCGCCUCGCGUGAAUACUCUCGGGGGUAGAGCACUGGAUGGGUGAGGGGUGCUUACCGCAUUACCAAUCCUAACCAAACUCCGAAUACCGAGAAGUACUGCGCGGGAGACACACGGCGGGUGCUAACGUCCGUCGUGGAGAGGGAAACAACCCUGACUUACAGCUAAGGCCCCCAAUUCGUGGCUAAGUGUGAAAGGAUGUGGGAAUC
rnacentral:rRNA from 2 species